rnacentral:rRNA from 1 species
AUUGAACGCUGGCGGCAUGCUUUACACAUGCCAGUCGAACGGUAACAGGUCUUCGGAUGCUGACGAGUGGCGAACGGGUGAGUAAUACAUCGGAACGUGCCUAGUAGUGGGGGAUAACUACUCGAAAGAGUAGCUAAUACCGCAUGAGAUCUACGGAUGAAAGCAGGGGACCUUCGGGCCUUGUGCUACUAGAGCGGCUGAUGGCAGAUUAGGUAGUUGGUGGGGUAAAGGCUUACCAAGCCUGCGAUCUGUAGCUGGUCUGAGAGGACGACCAGCCACACUGGGACUGAGACACGGCCCAGACUCCUACGGGAGGCAGCAGUGGGGAAUUUUGGACAAUGGGCGAAAGCCUGAUCCAGCAAUGCCGCGUGCAGGAUGAAGGCCCUCGGGUUGUAAACUGCUUUUGUACGGAACGAAAAGCCUGGGGCUAAUAUCCCCGGGUCAUGACGGUACCGUAAGAAUAAGCACCGGCUAACUACGU